UUGCUCUUCUGAUCUAGCAACAGCCCCACUAUCAGCACCCAAAGCUGAAAUUCUGUCUUAAACUAUUCCUUGCCAAUACCAGAAACCAACACCACAACUUUCAUAAUUCAUAUAUGGCAUAUACCCAUACUGUGCUUGCCCAGUAUGUCUUCAUUUUCCACAAAAAAACAAGU